UUGACAGUCUAAUUAGUUGACAAAACGGAGGUGUGCGAAAUGAGCAACGGAUUUGAACCAGAAGCGAUUUUCCCAACAAGUUUGGUCAGUGCGGAAACUCAGGCGGUAAUUCUUUCCGGUUUCUGCUGUGUGGGCGCGUGGACGAUCUUCAGAUGGGUUAUACAGAUGUUCUUCUCAGUCUUGUGGCCCUUUUUUAUCGCUUGCGGGCUGAUGAUAUCCCUACCUUGGUUGCGUAGGGUUAUUACUAAUGAAUACGUGCCCAAGUAUUUUGACGCGAUGAAGUGUGUGACGAGACGUCUUUGGGUUGCAUGGAACUCGACAAAAACUAAUUAGAUUGUAGUUCGGUGCACCAAUAAUAAGAAUGCGAACCACUAUUAUGUACUAUAUUAUAUUGUAAUAAAUUUAACAUUUAACAUUUCUAGCAGAAAA